AUGGGCAUCAAAAACCUGAGGCCUGUUCACAUGGAUGCUAACAAACUCAAGAGGCCAGCUAUCUGUCUGAUCAGUGUUUAUGGCACCCAUGAUAAUCCAGAUGUGUGGCCUAAUCCAGAGGUGUAUGACCCCAUGCGAUUUAACCUAGACAACCAGAAACGACGCUCCCCAUAUGCUUUUGUUCCAUUUUCCGCUGGACCAAGGAAUUGUAUCGGUCAGAACUUUGCCAUGGCGGAGAUCCGUGUGGUUCUGGCACUUACUCUCAGAAGAUUCAGGGUUCUUCCAGGGUCCAGAUCUCCAAGUCGUCUUUAUAUGCUCACAAUGAGAGCGGGGGGGGGGGGGGCUGCCUCUAACACUGGAACCCCUGUCACCAGCACAAAGCUGAAACACACACACACACACACACACACACACACACACACACACACACACACACACGGCUGUAGCCUUGUAACAUUUUACCAAUUCACGCAGCAACAAAUAUGUGGUCCUACAUUUUGUCCUUAUUUUCAUUACUAAGUGAGACACGAAUUUGCUUACCUUUUUUUAUCAGGUAUACCGAACAGAAACAUAUGAGUGGAGCUAGAGAUGCAGGUUAUUCAUUGGUCACACACAGUACUGC